AGCAGUUCCUUUGUUCAUUUCUUUAUUCAGCAGUUUUGAGGACUGACUAUGCAUAAGGGUCUGGCUAGGUGCUUGGUACAGUAAACAAUAAAUGAUCCUUCUCUGCAGGGCCUGGAAGCCUAGACCAAAAGCUACAUAAUGUGAUCUGAGCUACGGUAGCCAUGUGCAGACUCUGAGGACAAACUGUACCCCCGUCUUUGCUUGGACUUCCCUUGCCUUCUGGCUGGUACACACCAGGUCACUGCAACCCAGAGGGGCCUGCAGCCCGCAGCACAGUAUGUACCUCGAUCUCCUCUCCCCUCUCUGCAGGGCCUGCAACAUGAGCAUCCCUGACUACGUUCAGAGUGCUGAGGACUACAAGACUCUCCCCAUGGUGGUCCAAGCCGUUGGGAUCAUCUCAGAGGAGAAUUUCUUUUGCAUUUAUAAGCAAAUCUCCUUGGUGAGCUGGAUCAUCCCCUGCGGCUACCAGUGGGCACUCUGUAUCUACUAUAGGCACCACUAUGCGCCCGAGAAUGGGUGGAGCGAACUCCAGACCAACCACAAGGUCGUGGGCCUUGUCACCAUUGCGGACUGCCUCUUGGCCAAGGCCUUCGAUAAGCUCCACGUGCAGAGGAGCUGUAUGGCACCACGCUUAAUGACUCUCAGCUCUUUGUCUUUGUGCUGCAUGGGGAGGUAGCCGAGCAGACAUGCACCUACGUGGCGUUCAAUCUACAAGGACUGCAGUGUGGUGAAGAGGAUCGAGGCCUUCACUGAGUCACUCUUCAUCUUGCUCAAGUCUAAGUGGCUGGAUGGGGCCCCCGACAAUUCUGGGGACAAGAUCCCGCUCCUCUGCAUCCUGUUUGAGAAGGAGGACUUCAUGGGACUGGACACAGACUGAAGUAACAAAGAAACAAGACAGAAAAAGCAGAGGAUGGUUUCUGUUCUUCCUCUCGGCUUGCAGGUGCCCUCACCUCCAGUGGCAUCCAUCCAGACACCAGCACUGACACUGGCCGUGCUCAGAACUGCCUCAGCCCUGAAGACACAACUGACAAAUAGAAGGGGGCCAUGCCCUGUUACAGCAGGUGCUCUCACUUUGUGGGUCCUUAUGUAACUGUGCAUUGUUAUUCAGGAUCGCCCGUUCUACAUUGUGUGACGCUGCUGCGGUGUCUCCUAGUUAUUUGUUUCUGAUCUGAGAAGCAGGAGCAAGGAACUCAGGGAGAGAUCCAGGAAGACAUCUGACUCUGUUAAGAGAUGACAGUCACAGCAACAAGGGGAGCGAAGACACUUGCAGCAAAGCAAAAUGACUUCACAACGAUUGCAUCAGAGCUGCAGGUGUGAGAGAGCCUAGGCCUGUCUCAGAGUGCAGGGGACAAGUGGAAA